rnacentral:tRNA from 1 species
GAGGGUAGAGCUCAGUGGUAGAGUGCGUGCUUAGCAUGCACGAGGUCCCGGGUUCAAGCCCUAGCACCUCCA